ACUCCUACGGGAGGCAGCAGUGGGGAAUAUUGCACAAUGGGCGCAAGCCUGAUGCAGCCCAUGCCGCGUGAUGUGCAAAGGCCUUCGGGUUGUAAAGCACUUUCAGUCGUGAGGAAGGUAGUGUAGUUAAUAGCUGCAUUAUUUGACGUUAGCGACAGAAGAAGCACCGGCUAACUCCGUGCCAGCAGCCGCGGUAAUACGGAGGGUGCGAGCGUUAAUCGGAAUUACUGGGCGUAAAGCGCAUGCAGGUGGUUUGUUAAGUCAGAUGUGAAAGCCCGGGGCUCAACCUCGGAAUUGCAUUUGAAACUGGCAGACUAGAGUACUGUAGAGGGGGUGAGAAUUUCAGGUGUAGCGGUGAAAUGCGUAGAGAUCUGAAGGAAUACCGGGUGGCAAGGCGGCCCCCUGGACGAUACUGACACUCAGA
rnacentral:rRNA from 1 species